rnacentral:rRNA from 1 species
GAGUUUGAUCCUGGCUCAGGACGAACGCUGGCGGCGUGCUUAACACAUGCAAGUCAAGGGGGCCCGCAAGGGUAACCGGCGAACGGGUGCGUAACACGUGAGCAAUCUGCCUAGAUGUGGGGGAUAGCCGGCCCAACGGCCGGGUAAUACCGCAUACGCUCUCCGGGUGGCAUCACCUGGUGAGGAAACAUUCGUGGCAUCUAGAGGAGCUCGCGGCCUAUCAGCUAGUUGGUGGGGUAACGGCCUACCAAGGCUUUGACGGGUAGCUGGUCUGAGAGGAUGGCCAGCCACAUUGGGACUGAGAUACGGCCCAGACUCCUACGGGAGGCAGCAGUGGGGAAUAUUGCGCAAUGGCCGAAAGGCUGACGCAGCGACGCCGCGUGGGGGAUGAAGCAUUUCGGUGUGUAAACCCCUGUUGCUCGGGACGAACAACUGGUUUCGACCAGUCUGACGGUACCGGGUGAGGAAGCACCGGCUAACUCCGUGCCAGCCGCCGCCGU